rnacentral:rRNA from 1 species
UACGGAGGGAGCUAGCGUUGUUCGGAAUUACUGGGCGUAAAGCGUACGUAGGCGGCUUUGUAAGUCAGAGGUGAAAGCCUGGAGCUCAACUCCAGAACUGCCUUUGAGACUGCAUCGCUUGAAUCCGGGAGAGGUGAGUGGAAUUCCGAGUGUAGAGGUGAAAUUCUUAGAUAUUCGGAAGAACACCUGUGGCGAAGGCGGCUCACUGGACCGGUAUUGACGCUGAGGUGCGAAAGCGUGGGGAUCAAACAGG